AGAGUGAACGCUGGCGGUAGGCCUAACACAUGCAAGUCGAACGGCAGCACGGUAAGAGCUUGCUCUUAUGGGUGGCGAGUGGCGGACGGGUGAGGAAUACAUCGGAAUCUACCUUUUGGUGGGGGAUAACGUAGGGAAACUUACGCUAAUACCGCAUACGCCCUUCGGGGGAAAGCCGGGACCAGCAAUGGCCUGGCGCUGAUAGAUGAGCCGAUGUCGGAUUAGCUAGUUGGUGAGGUAAUGGCUCACCAAGGCGACGAUCCGUAGCUGGUCUGAGAGGAUGAUCAGCCACACUGGAACUGAGACACGGUCCAGACUCCACGGGAGCAGCAGUGGGAAUAGUGGACAAUGGGCGACGAAGCCUGACUCCAGCCAACUACCCGGCGGUGGGUAGAAGGAACGGUCCGUUUACGGGUUA
rnacentral:rRNA from 1 species